rnacentral:rRNA from 1 species
AAUGGGGGAACCCUGAUGCAGCGACGCCGCGCUGGGAGGAAGAAGGUCUUCCGAUUGUAAACUCCUGUUGUUGAGGAAGAUAAUGACGGUACUCAACAAGGGAAGUGACGGCUAACUACNUGCCAGCAGCCGCGGUAAAACGUAGGUCACAAGCGUUGUCCGGAAUUACUGGGUGUAAAGGGAGCGCAGGCGGGAAGACNAGUUGGAAGUGAAAUCCAUGGGCUCNACCCAUGAACUGCUUUCAAAACUGUUUUUCUUGAGUAGUGCAGAGGUAGGCGGAAUUCCCGGUGUAGCGGUGGAAUGCGUANAUAUCGGGAGGAACACCAGUGGCGAAGGCGGCCUACUGGGCACCAACUGACGCUGAGGCUCGAAAGUGUGGGUAGCAAACAGGAUUAGAUACCCUGGUAGUCCAAGGGCGAAUUC